AUUGAACGCUGGCGGCAGGCCUAACACAUGCAAGUCGAGCGGAUGAAGGGAGCUUGCUCCUGGAUUCAGCGGCGGACGGGUGAGUAAUGCCUAGGAAUCUGCCUGGUAGUGGGGGAUAACGUCCGGAAACGGGCGCUAAUACCGCAUACGUCCUGAGGGAGAAAGUGGGGGAUCUUCGGACCUCACGCUAUCAGAUGAGCCUAGGUCGGAUUAGCUAGUUGGUGGGGUAAAGGCCUACCAAGGCGACGAUCCGUAACUGGUCUGAGAGGAUGAUCAGUCACACUGGAACUGAGACACGGUCCAGACUCCUACGGGAGGCAGCAGUGGGGAAUAUUGGACAAUGGGCGAAAGCCUGAUCCAGCCAUGCCGCGUGUGUGAAGAAGGUCUUCGGAUUGUAAAGCACUUUAAGUUGGGAGGAAGGGCAGUAAGAUAAUACCUUGCUGUUUUGACGUUACCAACAGAAUAAGCACCGGCUAACUUCGU
rnacentral:rRNA from 1 species